CAGGGAGACCUGGCGUGCUGUGGUUCAUGGGGUCGCAAAGAGUUGGACACUACUGAGUGACUGAACUGGACUUUCCAUGAGAAGCUCUUUGGGGUUGGUGCCUAUGUCCAUUUGACAUGUCCCCAUCACUGUGCUUUUGAGAAGUCCUUCAUUUCUAAUACUACAAAAUGCUCUGGGCUUAUUUUAUGUUAGCCUUGCCUUUGCCCUAGAAUCAAUUAAUUUUUUCUGUGGAAUUCUGUUCCUUUUUAUUGUAGAAUGAUAUUUAGAAACCAAGAUCUGUGAGCAAGGUUUGCUCAUGGCUACUGAGAUGUCACUGCUUACAGGCCCUCUCAGCAGACAGCCUUGUCCCACCAAUGUCUGAGGACAUCCCUGGAAGUCCAUGCAGGCAUCAUCCCCGGUGUGCAGGUGAGGACACACACAGGCUUUGAGAGACACAAGGACUCAUCCAGGAUGGAGAACAGGUAGGAAAUGGGGGGUGAGCCUGGACCCAGGUCUGUCUCCUCAGAGCUGCACACAGACCCUGCUCGGGAGCUGUGUGGAGGGCUGUGUGGAGCAACUGUGUGAGCCCGGGCUUCGGGGAUGAGGGAUGAGCGAUCAGUACCCCGAGGGCUGUGUGCAGAGGUGUCAACUGUCAGUUCAAGGAAGGGGCCCCCGGGACGUGAAGUCACUUCCUUGACGGCAGACCCUAACAGAACUGGGAACCUUGUAACCAGGCACCUGCCUCCUAGCAACAGCGCCACGGCCAGUUGGGGUCACUUGGCUGGAGAGACUUCAUCCAGAAGGAUGUUCUCCAGCUGUGUCUCAGCUGACCAAGGUUUCUGCUUCGUGAAACCCUGGAGGGAGAGGUUUUUCAGAUGUUUUAGGUGGUUCAGCGCUCAACCCGGAUGCCUCUGGUCCUUUACCAGGAGGUCAUCUAAGGUAACCCCAGGCAACCUAGAGCUGGCCACACCAGGCCUGGCUGCCACUGGGAGCCCUCCCUGGGCAGCGCCAGCUGCCCUCAUCUCCAUGUGGGGGGAAGUGGAACUUGAGGGGAGGUUCUCCCUCUGGGCAGGAACAGGUUGGUGGGCCCGUGGUGACCUGGUGG